AGAGAAGGAGCUUGCUUCUUCGAUCGAGUGGCGAACGGGUGAGUAACGCGUGAGGAACCUGCCUCAAAGAGGGGGACAACAGUUGGAAACGACUGCUAAUACCGCAUAAGCCCACAGCUCGGCAUCGAGCAGAGGGAAAAGGAGCAAUCCGCUUUGAGAUGGCCUCGCGUCCGAUUAGCUAGUUGGUGAGGUAACGGCCCACCAAGGCGACGAUCAGUAGCCGGACUGAGAGGUUGAACGGCCACAUUGGAACUGAGACACGGUCCAAACUCC
rnacentral:rRNA from 1 species